rnacentral:rRNA from 1 species
UGGCGAACGGGUGAGUAACACGUGAGCAACCUGCCCUGGACUCUGGGAUAAGCGCUGGAAACGGCGUCUAAUACUGGAUAUGAGCUCCUAUCGCAUGGUGGGGGUUGGAAAGAUUUUUCGGUCUGGGAUGGGCUCGCGGCCUAUCAGCUUGUUGGUGAGGUAAUGGCUCACCAAGGCGUCGACGGGUAGCCGGCCUGAGAGGGUGACCGGCCACACUGGGACUGAGACACGGCCCAGACUCCUACGGGAGGCAGCAGUGGGGAAUAUUGCACAAUGGGCGGAAGCCUGAUGCAGCAACGCCGCGUGAGGGAUGACGGCCUUCGGGUUGUAAACCUCUUUUAGCAGGGAAGAAGCGAGAGUGACGGUACCUGCAGAAAAAGCGCCGGCUAACUACGUGCCAGCAGCCGCGGUAAUACGUAGGGCGCAAGCGUUAUCCGGAAUUAUUGGGCGUAAAGAGCUCGUAGGCGGUUUGUCGCGUCUGCUGUGAAAUCCCGAGGCUCAACCUCGGGCCUGCAGUGGGUACGGGCAGACUAGAGUGCGGUAGGGGAGAUUGGAAUACCUGGUGUA